rnacentral:rRNA from 1 species
AUUGAACGCUGGCGGCAGGCCUAACACAUGCCAGUCGAGCGGAUGAAGGGAGCUUGCUCCUGGAUUCAGCGGCGGACGGGUGAGUAAUGCCUAUGAAUCUGCCUUGUAUUGGGGGAUAACGUCCGUAAACGGGCGCUAAUACCGCAUACGUCCUGAGGGAGAAAGUGGGGGAUCUUCGGACCUCACGCUUUCAGAUGAGCCUAGUUCGGAUUAGCUAGUUGGUGGGGUAAAUGCCUACCAAGGCGACGAUCCGUAACUGGUCUGAGAGGAUGAUCAGUCAAACUGGAAGUGAGACACGGAACAGACUCCUACGGGAGGGAGCAGUGGGGAAUAUUGGACAAUGGGCGAAAGCCUGAUCCAGACAUGCCGCGUGUGUGAAGAAGGUCUUCGGAUUGUAAAGCACUUUAAGUUGGGAGGAAGGGCAGUAAGUUAAUACCUUGCUGUUUUGACGUUACCAACAGAAUAAGCACCGGCUAACUUCGUG